rnacentral:lncRNA from 1 species
UUUUCAUGUCGCUCUGCAAUUUUCUCUUUGAUACUUCUCGUAUAGUUUUACAAUUUGAGUUGUUGAAUAAUUAAGACUAAUUAUCCAAUUAGGCGGAAUAAAACACAUAAUUCGAGUAUCUGCAAGCGACGGCAAACAUUACCUUUGUUCUCUCCAACUACGUGGCAUGUGCAUAUUUUUAAACUCUGGCUAAAGUUAGCUGGGACACCCCGUAUGCAGCGGGCUAAAUGCUCUGACAAUUUCUGAUGCUCCUGUUUUGAUCAUUUCUGUUAUAGGGGCUCAGCGACAAGGAAGCGGAAUGCGGGAUUAAACUCAUCGACCAGUGACCUGGUCCCCGUCAUAACGUCACGCAUUUGUAUUCCUGGCAUCUCCGAAUUAAAAUGCAAAGCUUGCUUGUUCUUUAAUUGCUGCCGUUUGCUGUGGCACACGCAGCAAGACAGUUUACGAAAAUAAAAGCAGUUCUGUGCUUGAAAAGUU